rnacentral:rRNA from 1 species
UAGGGAAUCUUGGACAAUAGGCGAAAGCCUGAUCCAGCAAUGCCGCGUGCACGAUGAAGGUCUUCGGAUUGUAAAGUGCUUUUAGAAGGGAUGAGUAAGGACAGUACCUUCUGAAUAAGCCUCGGCGAACUACGGGCCAGCAGCCGCGGUAAGACGUAGGAGGCAAGCGUUAUCCGGAUUUAUUGGGCGUAAAGCGCGUGCAGGCGGUUGGUAAGUUGGAUGUGAAAUCUCUUGGCUUAACCGGGAGAGGUCGUUCAAAACUGCCAGACUAGAGAGUGGUAGAGGAAGGUGGAAUUCCGGGUGUAGUGGUGAAAUGCGUAGAUAUCCGGAGGAACACCAGUGGCGAAAGCGGCCUUCUGGACCAUUUCUGACGCUAAGAUGCGAAAGCUAGGGUAGGAAACGG